GCAGCAAAGUAUUUGGCAUAGGAAACAUUCAUCAACACCAAUCAAUUGCACUAAAUUCUUGUCAACCGUGAGUGUGAUAUGUAAUCUAUGAGUCACUAGGAAUAAAACAUGAGGAUUUAACUGCAGGGAUUUUAAGCAUGCCUGCUGAUAAAGUCAGCAAGCACAUCUGCUGGUGAGCUGCUUUGGAGAUACUCUUUUAAGUUGUGUUGUUUCAACUACUCUGAGAAAUACAGUGUAUUGCAUUCCUACAAUUCCAAAUCUUAAGUAAACUACUAGAUUAUCCCUGGAGGUGUUCAAGACCAGGUUGGAUGGGCCCUGGGAAGCCUGUUCUAGUACCAGAUCUGGAGAGGCUACGAGUUUGGCAGAGGAAGUGCUGGAAGUCUGUGUCAUGGGCCCCAUAACUCCAAAAUGGUGAUUCAGAAGAAUCACAUUCCCUUUGUUACUGCAUCACUUCAUUUUGGAGAGCAGACUCCCAUUAAAGAAGGAAGAAAGACAUUCAAGAAAUGGACCCUCUCCUGCCAGAGCCACUGCUCCCUCCAGAGCUCAGCCCUCUACUGUGAUGAAUUACUACUUAAUCCAAGUAAUUUAUUUUCCAGAUUAAUAUUGAACUUGAAUUUAUUGUGAAAUAAAUAAAUAAAUGCAUUAUAGGCUAGAUUUUUU
rnacentral:lncRNA from 1 species